rnacentral:rRNA from 1 species
UACGAAGGGGGCUAGCGUUGUUCGGAAUUACUGGGCGUAAAGCGUGCGCAGGCGGCUUCUCAAGUCAGGGGGUGAAAGCCCAGAGCUCAACUCUGGAAUUGCCUUUGAGACUGAGUGGCUUGAGUACGAGAGAGGUGAGUGGAAUUCCCAGUGUAGAGGUGAAAUUCGUAGAUAUUGGGGAAGAACACCGGUGGCGAAGGCGGCUCACUGGCUCGUAACUGACGCUCAUGCACGACAGCGUGGGGAUCAAACAGG